CCUCUCGUAGUUCAACGGAUAGAACGCAAGCUUGCGGAGCUUGUAAUGUAGGUUCGAUUCCUGCCGAGAGGACCA
rnacentral:tRNA from 1 species